AUGAACGCUAGCGGCAGGCCUAACCCCUGCAAGUCGAGGGAUAAGCCUUCGGGCUAAGCCCGGCGCACGGGUGCGUAACGCGUAUACAAUCUGCCUUUUAUCCGGGGGAUAGCCCGAAGAAAUUUGGAUUAAUACCCUAUGGUAUAAGAGCACGGCAUCGUGCACUUAUUAAAGCUACGGCGGUAAAAGAUGAGUAUGCGUUCUAUUAGCUAGUUGGAGAGGUAACGGCUCCCCAAGGCGACGAUAGAUAGGGGUUCUGAGAGGGAUGUCCCCCACACUGGUACUGAGAUACGGACCAGACUCCUACGGGAGGCAGCAGUGAGGAAUAUUGGACAAUGGUCGGAAGACUGAUCCAGCCAUGCCGCGUGCAGGAUGACGGCCUUAUGGGUUGUAAACUGCUUUUGUAAGGGAAGAAUAAGGAGUACGUGUACUUUGAUGACGGUACCUUACGAAUAAGCAUCGGCUAACUCCGUG
rnacentral:rRNA from 1 species